UGGCCGAGCGGUGUGAGGUGCUGGAUUAAGGCGCCAGUCACUUCAAAGGCGUGGGUUCGAAUCCCACCACUG
rnacentral:tRNA from 1 species